rnacentral:lncRNA from 1 species
AAGUGGGAGAUCCCGGGUUCGAACCCCGACUCUGCACAUAAAAUGCAAUAUUCCUACCAAAUGAAAAUAUACUUGUUUUCAUCAAUCACAUUAUUCACGAAUUUAUCAUAUAGAAAAUAUACUUCUUUUUAUUCUGAUGAAUGAAUCUGAACAGAUGAUGAACUCUUCUGUAACUAAUAUUAAUUAGAUUCAAACAAUAUUCUAGAGUCAGUAAUCUUUAUACUAGAGAAAGAGGAAAAUUGCAGUAGUGUAGUUGCUGGGAAUAUCACACGUUGUUUUAAGCCUAGCGCUUGAUAUGUCAAUUUUUAAAGAAUGUCACUAAUGGCUGUACCAUGUAAAGGGUACUUGCAACAGUUGCAAAAUGCAAAAAAGAAAGUGAUAAAUGUUCAUUGUGGACUCUCUGCAUCUUGCGACCUCUGGUCAUGUAAAGGAUUGCAGUCGCAUAUAACAUUAACAGGAAUAAUUAAGUCAUUCUUAAGCAGAGAUAUUUUUAU